AUGGACCAUGUCACGCCGUCAGGUGGAACAGUUCAGAAUGCCAUUGCAUCAUCCAAGCUCUUCCCUGGAACGAAUGUAAGGUUCACUUCAGGUCUCUUGAGCCUCAUUUACUGCACUAGCAAUGGACUUGGCAUAGUUCCCAGAGCUCAGUUGGGGCUUGGAAAACCCUGAGAUUGCAUGAAGCAAGAGGUCCAGUGAGCACGGUUUGGAGACCUCCUUGAGGACACAAGACAAAGAGACAGCAUGUCUGUCCUUCAAUAUUGGGUAGAUGGAAGCAUCUAUUUUUCUUUAGUCGGAGUUCUUGUCUUCAAUUUUAAUCUGUAUUUUUAUUCUCCCAUGAAGAAUGGACUGAUGGUCAGUGUAGAACAUGUGAAAAUUUGAGCAUAUCCUAUAUCAAUAAUUAGUUUUGAAACUUGAAAUCAUAUUGUAGUAGAUAAAUCUGGAAUAAUAUUGCAAAAUAUGUGAGUUUGGAAGGAGAAGGUGAUUGAUGCUCACUCACAGUGUGGUAUUACGGAUAUCCUAUCAACUCCCACUUGCGUUACUGCUUUUAUGAGUUGAAUACAGUCAGAGAGAAAACCCUACACGUAGAUUGCAGAAUGUGAGGCUCUUAUCCAGGUCCAAAUUUCCCUCUCAAAAUAGCAGAAGAAAAUAACUUUUAUCUUGAAGAGGGUGAGUAGAGAAUAUUCUAAUGUCUUCUUCUACAUACUCUUGAAAUAGCCUGGACAGAACCAAGCACUUGCAGAAGUCGUCAUAAGAGGUCAGUAAAAUAAAGCUACAUUUAAAAAACA
rnacentral:lncRNA from 2 species